UACGUAGGUGGCAAGCGUUGUCCGGAUUUAUUGGGUUUAAAGGGUGCGUAGGCGGCCCUGUAAGUCAGUGGUGAAAUACUCUAGCUUAACUAGAGGGGUGCCAAUGAUACUGCAGGGCUUGAGUACAGAUGAGGUAGGCGGAAUUGACGGUGUAGCGGUGAAAUGCAUAGAUAUCGUCAAGAACACCGAUAGCGAAGGCAGCUUACUGGGUUGUAACUGACGCUGAUGCACGAAAGUGUGGGGAUCAAACAGG
rnacentral:rRNA from 1 species